rnacentral:lncRNA from 1 species
CAUCCAGCUUUGGCUCUUAACGCUUCUGCCUGGGCAUGGCAUAGGUCAUCUUCCCUCAUGUGCCGCUGGUCAAGGUGAGUCACACGGUGGCCAUAUCAGUGGCAUGGGGAAGGAUGGUCCUUCCAUGGACGUUGCUGCCACGAGCAUGGGGGUAUCAUCCUCUUUUAGGAAGGGAGAGAGAGGGGUUGAGGGUAAGAAUAGACUCUACCACAGGACUAGGUUGCUUUUCCAUCAACAUGAGUUCCUAUCAGCAGCAAUCCCACAGUCCCUUCCCCUCACCUUGAUGUCUUGGGGAGAGCAAUGGGAGCUGAAAGACAGAGUUUUCCUGCAGAGGCUGAGAGAACAGCUUGGGUCACAGAGCUGGGCUCCGUUUUGCAGGGCUGGACGAGCUGUGGGGCGAAGAAUUUGUGAAGACCAGAUCCCUGGAGAAAAAAGCUGUGUGCCGUUGGUUGACCUUGGUAGUGCAGAACCAAAAAAAGAGCUCCGCAGGCCUGGAGACACCAUGUUGACCAUCUCCUGUGUGACGCAUCCUGUGGAUUUCAUCAAGGCAGGUGCUGGACGCUCUCUGUUGUAGAUUUUCCCCAAGUGGCUGAUAAACUUGCUUACUCCAAGUAACUCACGAUCGAUAAUGG